AUUCUAUUGCAGUUCACAAGCAUGAUGACUGCCUGUUCACAUGCUGGCAUGAGAUGUGUCCCCCUCAUGAACCUUGUUAUGACAUCGGCAUGUUACCCAUCCCACA
ensembl:snoRNA